GAUGACAUAAGAGCAACUUUGGUGGACCAUGUCAUAAACCAUGGCCUGACUAUGAGGGAAGCUGGGCAGAGAGUCCACCCUAAUCUAAGCCGUUGCACAGUUUCAUCCAUAAUAAGGACAUUCCGACUGGAAAACAGAAUGACUAGAAGACCUUCUGGGGGUGGACGCCAACGCCUGUUCACCCAACAGCAGGAACUUGCCAUUGUGGACCUAGUCAGAGCAAACAAUGCAAUCCGUCUCCAGCAGCUACGGCAACAAAUACUUGCAGAUAGGCAAGUGUUCAACAACAUAAACCGAGUAAGCAUUACCACUAUAAGACGCAUCUUGGUAAAGCACAAAAUGACCAUGAAGCAACUGUACAGGGUCCCAUUUGAGAGGAACAGUGUCAGGGUCAAAGGACUUUGACGUGAAUAUGUACAGAGAAUCUUGGCCAUGGAUGGAGCUGCACAGCCUCAUGAAUUUAUUUACAUUGAUGAGGCUGGAUUCAACCUUAGCAAAACAAGACGACGGGGUCGUAAUAUAAUUGGCCAAAGGGCCAUUGUGCACGGCCCGGGGCAGCGCGGGGGAAAUAUCUCAUUGUGUGCCGCCAUAAGCCUUCGAGGGCUUCUGUACCAUCAUGCAAAACUAGGUCCAUACAAUACACAACAUAUCAUCACAUUUCUAGAUGCUCUUCAUAAUAUAGCUGUACAGGACAGACCAGAGCAGCCCAGGUUUGUUGUUGUCUGGGAUAAUGUCAGUUUC